rnacentral:rRNA from 1 species
AGCGAACGCUGGCGGCAGGCUUAACACAUGCAAGUCGAGCGGGCAUCCUUGUGGUGUCAGCGGCAGACGGGUGAGUAACGCGUGGGAACGUGCCCUUCGGUUCGGAAUAACUCAGGGAAACUUGAGCUAAUACCGGAUACGUGCGAGAGCAGAAAGGUUUAUCUGCCGAAGGAUCGGCCCGCGUCUGAUUAGCUAGUUGGUGAGGUUACGGCUCACCAAGGCGACGAUCAGUAGCUGGUCUGAGAGGAUGAUCAGCCACACUGGGACUGAGACACGGCCCAGACUCCUACGGGCGGCAGCAGUGGGGAAUAAUGGACAGUGGGGGCAACCCUGAUCCAGCCAUGCCGCGUGAGUGAUGACGGCCUUAGAGUUGUAAAGCUCUUUUCUCCGGGACGGUAAGGACGGUACCGGAGGAAUAAGCCCCGGCUAACUUCGU